UUGGCCUUUUGUACGUAGGUAGCAGAUUUUGGCCUCGCAAGGCUAGUAGAACGAACCAAUGAUGAAGAAUUCAUAGCAACAAGGCUUGUUGGAACACCGGGCUACCUUCCACCAGAAUCUGUUAAGGAGCUUCAAGUGACUAUAAAAACAGAUGUUUUUGCAUUUGGGGUGGUUCUGUCAGAGUUGAUAACAGGGAAACGUGCACUAUUUCGUGACAACCAACAAGCCAACAAUAUGAAAUCCCUUGUUACAGUUGUUAGCCAAAUUUUCAGAAAUAAAUACCCAGAGAAUGCUUUAGCAGAUGCCGUAGAUGGGAAUCUUCAGCAUAGCUAUCCCAUGGAAGAUGUCUACAAGAUGGCAGAAGUAGCUCAUUGGUGUUUGUGGGAAGAUCCAAACGACAGGCCUGUGAUGAGGGAGAUAGUUGUGGCAUUGUCAGAGAUUGUUAUGUCAUCCACAGAAUGGGAAGCAUCACUAGGUGGAGACAGCCAAGUCUUCAGCGGGGUUCUUGAUGGAAGAUGAACACCCUUUUCUUACUUCACAAUUCUGCACUAAUGCUUCUUCUUUUUCUUGCAUUCAUCAAAUCUCAUGCUGCUACCAUUUUCACUUUAUGCUCUGCUGUAUAUAUUCCUACACAUUUUUAAUACAAGAUUAUAGAAUUAAAUCGUGGAAGCUUCUUACUCAAGUUAUGAAGUCCCACACUUGUCAGAACACUGACAAGGAUUUGCAGCUUAAGAUAUAAAAUCUAAACACUUUAAUCUUUCAAAGCAUACCUUUCUCGGCCUUUUGGCUAAGAUCAAGUGUAGUAUCUGUUCUUAUCAGUUUAAUAUCUGAUAUGUGGACUAUUAGUUCACACGAUAUUAAAUUAAUUUUUUGAGGGAUAGAAACAUCGAGUAGCUUGCUGCUUGGUUUCUUAAGCAUCGUUCUUGUUUUGCACUCUUGCAAGGCCUGGUGCAUCCCACCCAAAUUAGUUCAAUUAUUUGUUCUUAUUUCUGGUAGUUUAAAUUUAUGUUCUGGCUAAAUGGUUGUUUAUUUGUUCUCCAUCAAAACUUGAUGAGUAAUUAAUUGAUUUCAGCUUGAAAGUUUUAUAAUUACCCUAUUAAUUUUACUGUUCUUGGUUUUGUGGCUCAGCAUUGGUUUCUUUGGCAAUGUUAUUAUUAGGUUGAACAGUAUUAUAAUUACCUUAUUCAUUGGAUUUUCUGUUAAAAUUAACAUAUCAAAUGGAUUUGUAUGUCAUUUGAUGAAAGAGUGUUAUUACCCAUCAAAAAGUUUACAUAUUUUUAUUAAGUUUGCUGCACGUGGCUGAAUUAUAAUUUUCAUUUUUGGUGGUGCUUUUCUCUGGUUUGGAAAAAAAAUCUUUAGGCCGUUUCUUGGGAUUCCUAUUACAGUGAUUGGGUGAAUUGGAAAGUUGACAUAGUGGUGGAAUGAAGGCCUGUCUUUCGGUGUGGUAGGAGUGAAGAAACCAUCCUCUAUUUGCUUAGUGACAACCCAAAAGCAAAAGGAUUUUAGGAUGUAACAAUUUAAUGUUGAAGUCAAUAACAAUGCAGAAAACAGCUCCUACUUGUUGCAGCAUCACACUACCUAUAGCAAAGGGUCUUUGCUUUGGCAUGGUGGUUAAUAUGGAAGGCCAAAAAUGAUGAAAUAUUCAAGACACUAUUAUUCCAGAUUUCUCUAUGACAGUGCAGGAACCAGACUUUAGACCUCAAGAUUUAACCUGCAAAUGAAGUAAAUCUUCAAGGCUACUUGCUUGGAAGUGUCUUUCAUCAAACACCUUAUGUGCAUUUGUUAAUUCCGCUGCCAUCCACUCUUCUCAGCUCUGUGCAACUUCAACGAGCAAAGAUAAAUCUCCAAUCAUCCAUGGAGGACGUCAUCAAGUGGUAUUCAGAGUCAAGUUUGGUGCAGCUUAGAAGACUUGCAAGGAAGCCAGAAAAGGGUAGUGUAUUAGGUGGUGGAGGCUGAAUCUCUCUUUGGACGUGCAACAAACCCGAACCAUGGAGUGCAACCUGAAAUUCGGUUUCCAGCAAGCCUAAAUCUGAUUGAGAGUUGUAUAAAAGGCACCCAAAUCACAACCUACACCACUGCAGCUGUGAGCUUUGUGGCUGUAUUCAUUGCAGCGUUCUUUAUUCCAGAGAAUCCCAAAGCUGCCUACCCCUUUCUUUUACCGUUUAUGUCCAGAAAAUAAACUGUUGCAUCUGUCUUUUAGUUGCUGAUUGAAGUGCAAAUAUCCAAAAUUCUUUAGAGAGUGGUUUAUUAAUUCUGCCUUCCUGGUUAAAUGAGUUGUGUGACUGCAAUUGAAUACUUUUCUCAUCUUCGAUGUCACUGAAAGUCAGAAUAGAACAUUCAAUUGUGUCUAUUCCACGUUCAUUGCGAGUUCUGGUUUGUUGGUUAGUUUCAUUGGUGCAGAUUGAUUUAGAAAGCUGGAAGAAAUGCAAAACAGCAUAAUGCAGUGUAGGUUGGUGAUCUGAACCCGUGACACAAGCAGCAACAACACCUUUUUGGAGCCCUGACAUGUCUCUUGGUCCAAAUACUAUCACAGCAGCUGAACACAACCCCAGAAUCAUGAAGCUGUGAAGCCCAAAAGAGCAGAAGUUAAGUUGUCCAUACAGCCUGGAACACACAUCAGAAUCAACAUGACGCUGACUCCCAGUAGUUGAAGAGAACCGACCAGCGAAAUCCAGCAGAUUUCAUAGCUUUGCAUCUGUUUUGUGUAAUUGCUUUAGAUUUCAAUUUCUUUUGGUUUUUCUUUUGUAAAAGGCCAUUUUUUAGACCAAGUGUUAUGGAAGAUUCCUUGGUGCUUUUUCAA